UACGUAGGGGGCGAGCGUUGUCCGGAAUUACUGGGCGUAAAGGGUGCGUAGGCGGCCGAUUAAGUUGGAUGUGAAAUCCCCGUGCUCAACAUGGGAGGUGCAUUCAAAACUGGUUGGCUAGAGUACAGGAGAGGGAAGCGGAAUUCCUAGUGUAGCGGUGAAAUGCGUAGAUAUUAGGAGGAACACCAGUGGCGAAGGCGGCUUUCUGGACUGACACUGACGCUGAGGCGCGAAAGCGUGGGGAGCAAACAGG
rnacentral:rRNA from 1 species